UGUCAUUUAUUAACCUGGAAGCAAAUAUGACAAAACAGUCAUACUAGUAAGUCAUCUGAAUUUUUUAAAUCUCUUAAUAAAACAACCAAAUCCCACGCAAAUCAGUCCACAAGGGAGGCCCCCGCCUCCACAGUGCAGGGUGACUGAGUGUACAACUACGGGCCAACCCCCGCCUCUCAACCGGAAGGGAGGGCACUCAAAAGAGGAAUUUAGAGAAAAGGCGGAGAGGGCGGACCUCGGGAAAGGGUCUGGGCGGGAGCCCCACCUGGCUCCCCACCCCUCCCGAAACCAGGGGAAAAGCCUGUGGCGUGGCGCUGCUGUCUCCCAUUAGCAGUUACAGGGCCGAGGCUUCCCGCUGAUUGGUGGAAAUUCCGAUCUUCUGAUCCCUGAUUUGCAUAGAGACUGGGGCCUGCACCCCCGCCCCCCACCAGCAGCAAUCGGCCAACGCCAACGGUGCUGCGCCAGGAGCGUUCUGGGCUCGGCGCCGCCCAGUCCUCCUGGUCAUCUCGGAAGCUGUUUUCUUCCAGCUGCUUGGGACAGCUUUUGUGAAUGCCUCCCUUAGGGAUGUUCGAAAGAGGAGUGGCCCGACACUGCUAGAAACUGGUCCUUUCCUUCCCACCUGUGGUAAGGAUAGUUUCUGCUACGGCAAGCACUCAAACUCAGGCUGGUUUGAAGCUAAAGGAUUCAGACGACUUCCAAGUAUCAAGAAUGAAAGAAAAAGAAACAUAAUAAGGAGCCCACCACCAAGACUUGUAGUUAUUUCCUCAGAAAGCCCCCAUGCCCCAUUUGUGACAAAAUCCAUUCCUGAAGACUGAUUCUAGAAGAAACCAAGUAAGAUCUAGAACUUUCCCCACCAGCAUCACUUUCCAAAAUGUAGGCAGAAGUUUACCAAAUACAAUUUAUUCAGGAAAAAAAUAAAUUUUAAGAACUUAUUUUUAUUUUAUUUU
rnacentral:lncRNA from 1 species